rnacentral:rRNA from 1 species
UCGAGCGAGGGGCUUGCUCCCUUGAUUUAGCGGCGGACGGGUGAGUAACACGUGGGCAACCUACCUGUAAGACUGGGAUAACUUCGGGAAACCGGAGCUAAUACCGAUAAUUUCUUUUCUCGCAUGAGAAGAGAUGGAAAGACGCUUCGGCUGUCACUUACACAUGGGCCNNAUUAGCUAGUUGGUGAGGUAAUGGCUCACCAAGGGCACCU